GUGCUCAUUUUGGCAGCACAUAUAUUAAAACUGAAACAAUACAGAGAUUAGCAUGGCCCCUGUGCAAAGAUGACAUGAAAAUAUGGAAGCAUUCCAUAUUUUC
rnacentral:snRNA from 1 species